CAAUAGCGUAUAUUAAAGUUGUUGCAGUUAAAAAGCUCGUAGUUGGAUUUCUGGUGGGAGCGAUCGGUCUGGCGCUUAGCGCGAGUACUUGCAUCGUCUCCGGCCAUCCUUGGGGAAAGUCUGUCUGGCAUUAAGUUGUCGGGCAGAGGAUCCUCAUCGUUUACUGUGAAAAAAUUAGAGUGUUCAAAGCAGGCUUAUGCCGUUGAGUAUAUUAGCAUGGAAUAAUAAGAUAGGACUUUGGUACUAUUUUGUUGGUUUGCGCACCAAAGUAAUGAUUAAUAGGGACAGUAGGGGGUAUUCGUAUUCCGUUGUCAGAGGUGAAAUUCUUGGAUUUACGGAAGACGAACUACUGCGAAAGCAUUUACCAAGGAUGUUUUCAUUAA
rnacentral:rRNA from 1 species